rnacentral:lncRNA from 1 species
ACGGAUAAAAAUCGAGCAAAUGCUUCAACCAAAACUCGAAAUAACAAUCAAACUCAAACGGGAUCACGAACCCUACUGCGAACGACACGUUGAACUAAAUGUUUGAAAAUCUGAAACAUUAGAAGAAGAAGACGUUUUGUUUUUACUUUAAUGAUUUUCUCCUCUCUUUGUUUUUACCAUAUCUUCUCCCCUGUGUGUGUGCAUUUUUGAGCAGUAGAGAGGUGUGAAAAGAAGCACAGGGGUUAGCCUAGCGGUGAGGAGCUGGUGAUAAGGUGGCUGCUUGUUUUAUGAAGGUGUGGACUGGUCAUUUAUACUCAAGAGGAGAAUGGGUUACUGGUUAGUGUGGAUCUAGAGAGAGUUCGUUAAUGGGGUCUUAGGGUUCUGGUGUUGGUGGUUUUUAGAGUGAGGGAGAUGAAGUUUUGGUGUUCUCUUAGGGUGUGUUGAUGGCUACAGAAGGUUUGAUCUUAGAUGGAGAAAAAGUUAGUUUGGUAUUCUUUGGGUGGGAAUCUGUUAGAGUAGAUGAUCUCCAGCGUCUAUUUUUGUCCAAAUAGCUAUCCUCUAGAUUUAGGAGCUCUUAUGGCUGCUUUCUUUGUGUAGAAGAUAGGUCCUUAGUUUUUUUGUGGUUUUUGUUCAUCC